GGGCAUGGCUUCCUCUUUCACGCCCGUGCCCUAACUCUCCUCCUCCUCCUUCCUCUUUCACGAUGGAUCCUGUCGUGCCCUAACUCUAGCUCCCGAGCCGCUUCUUCCUUCCCCUUCGAGAAGAGAGGAGCGAAGCCCGUCCCCUUCGUGCUCUACUCCUCCUUCCUCUUUCGCGAAAGAUCCUGGCGUGCCAUAACUCUAGCUCCCGAGCCGCUUCUUCCUUCCCCUUCGAGAAGAGAGGAGCGAAGACCGUCCCCUUCGUGCCCUAGCUUCUUCGGUCGCAGCCUCGCGUUCUCCUUUCUCUUCCUCCCAGUGAGGUGAGCCGCUUCUUCCCUCCCAUUCUCGAAGAGAGGAUCGAAGCAUGUCCAUCCAAAAAAAACAGAGUCGAAGCCCUCACCUAGCUACGGGGUCAAGUUAUAGCACCAGUAGACAGGGAGCUUUGAGUUUGAGCACUCUUUGAGGUUGUUAUUUCAUGGCUGAAUCAAGUUACAACAAUAUCGACAAUACGAGAUUUCAACAUGUAACAUGUAGGGAAUGCGGAGAAAGAACCAUGGUGCGUGUUUCUAAAUCAACUAAAAAUCCUGGAAGAUACUAUUACAGAUGUGGGCAAUAUGGAUGGCAAAAGUGGGUGACAACGGAUACUAGUUCAUCCUACAAAAUUGAAAGUGAACACCAUGUUUCUCAUGGACAUAAUCCAAGAAUAAUCAAUGUACCAAAAUUCAUUUGGAUAUUAGUAAUGGUGAACUUGAUUCUCUUAGCCGUAAUCCAAAUUGAGUUGUUAGUUCAUAUGUUUAGUUAGUAUUAAGUAAUGUUUGUGUUGUAAUAUAAUUGGCUAAAUGUUUAUAAUUCUAGACGCAAACUUAGUUUAUCUCUAAUUGAAAUGUUUUUAUUUCAAUAAAUAUUUGGUCACCUAAAAAGAAAACCGUCUCUAUCUUCUUUACUUCUAUUAGCCCUCUCUGUUUUGCUCUUUCUGGCUAGUAAAGUUUACUUUUCAUUGAUGAUAUCUAUGUGAUGCCAUUGAUUUGAGAAAAAGACAUAUUGUAUAAUUUAUGUGAUGUUUAUACUAAUAUUGUGGUUCGUUUUAGAAAUCAUCCAAGGAAAAACUUUACCUAGGUGAAGUAGUAGAACCAUCAUGUUUUCACAGUGGAUGCUAAUUACUUGAAGGAGAUCGAUAACUAUCCACUAUGAUAAGAUCUUCCUGGACAACAUCUCUAUGGAAGGGCUUGUUUGAUGCAACAGUUUCUUAAGAAUGUAAAGCUGCACUUUCAUUCAUUGAAUGCACUGAUAAUCUGCAAUUAUCUUAAAGGAAGGGUUACCAGUUUGAUAACUAUACACUGAUUUUAUUUUCAUAAUAUAUGAAUCAAGAGAUGAGCCCAUAAGGAGAAGAUGGCGUGACAACGAAAUGAUUUGCCUUUUGGUUUCAUUUUUGUGUUGGCUAAUAUGUUUUAGACGCCUACUUUCCCUCCUUAAUUUUUCAGCUAUGAUUCUUUUUUUCA